CAGUAGCCACGGUAAGACGGAGGGUGCUAGCGUUGUUCGGAAUCACUGGGCGUAAAGGGCGCGUAGGCGGCCUGUUAAGUCGGAUGUGAAAGCCCGGGGCUCAACCCCGGAACUGCAUCCGAGACUGGCAGGCUUGAGACCGGGAGAGGAGGGUGGAAUAUCCAGUGUAGAGGUGAAAUUCGUAGAUAUUGGAUGGAACACCGGUGGCGAAAGCGGCUCUCUGGCCCGGAUCUGACGCUGAGGCGCGAAAGCGUGGGGAGCAAACAGGAUUAGAUACCCCCGUAGUCCCUGUCUCUUAUAC
rnacentral:rRNA from 1 species